rnacentral:tRNA from 3 species
CUGAGAAGAUAACGGUGGUUGUUUACCCGCUUUGGAUGCGGGAGGUCGUAGGUUCGAAUCCUACUUCUCAGA